GGAGCAGAAGUCCCUGUUCCCCGCUCAGAGACUCGAACUUUCCAAUGAAUAGGAGAUUAUCCCAGGUGCCUGCAUCCGCUGGUGUCUGGGUUCUGUGCCCCUUCCCCACCCCAGGUGUCCUGUCCAUUCUCAGGCUGGUCACAUGGGUGGUCCUAGGGUGUGCCAUGAGAGAUGCAAAGCGCCUGAAUUUUCUGACUCUUCCCAUCAGACCCCCCAAAGACACACGUGACCCACCACCCCAUCUCUGACCAUGAGGCCACCCUGAGGUGCUGGGCCCUGGGCUUCUACCCUGCGGAGAUCACACUGACCUGGCAGCGGGAUGGCGAGGACCAAACUCAGGACACUGAGCUUGUGGAGACCAGACCAGCAGGAGAUAGAACCUUCCAGAAGUGGGCAGCUGUGGUGGUGCCUUCUGGAGAAGAGCAGAGAUACACAUGCCAUGUACAGCAUGAGGGGCUGCCGAAGCCCCUCACCCUGAGAUGGGAGCCGUCUUCCCAGUCCACCGUCCCCAUCGUGGGCAUUGUUGCUGGCCUGGCUGUCCUAGCAGUUGUGGUCAUCGGAGCUGUGGUCGCUGCUGUGAUGUGUA
rnacentral:lncRNA from 1 species